rnacentral:rRNA from 1 species
UACGUAGGGGCCUAGCGUUGUCCGGAAUUAUUGGGCGUAAAGAGCUCGUAGGCGGUUCGGCAAGUCGGAUGUGAAAUCUCCACGCUUAACGUGGAGGGGCCAUUCGAAACUGCUGUGACUCGAGUCCGGUAGGGGAGUGUGGAAUUCCCGGUGUAGCGGUGAAAUGCGUAGAUAUUGGGAGGAACACCGGUGGCGAAGGCGGCCCCCUGGACCGGUACUGACGCUGAGGCGCGAAAGCGUGGGUAGCAAACGGG